rnacentral:rRNA from 1 species
UACGUAGGGUGCAAGCGUUGUCCGGAAUUACUGGGCGUAAAGCGCGCGUAGGCGGCUUUGUAAGUUAGAGGUGAAAGCCCGGAGCUCAACUCCGGAAUUGCCUUUAAGACUGCAUAGCUAGAAUCAUGGAGAGGCGAGUGGAAUUCCCGGUGUAGCGGUGAAAUGCGCAGAUAUCGGGAGGAACACCAAUGGCGAAGGCAGCUCGCUGGGACGUUACUGACGCUGAGACGCGAAAGCGUGGGGAGCGAACAGG